GGGAUUGCCUCAGUAACGGCGAGUGAAGCGGCAACAGCUCAAAUUUGAAAUCUGGCCCCCUCGGGGUCCGAGUUGUAAUUUGUAGAGAGUGCUUCGGGGGAGACCGCGGUCUAAGUCCAUUGGAACAUGGCGUCAUAGAGGGUGAGAAUCCCGUAUGCGACCGUGGUUCGAACCCGUGUGAAGCCUCUUCGACGAGUCGAGUUGUUUGGGAAUGCAGCUCAAAAUGGGUGGUAAAUUUCAUCUAAAGCUAAAUACUGGCUGGAGACCGAUAGCGCACAAGUAGAGUGAUCGAAAGAUGAAAAGCACUUUGGAAAGAGAGUUAAAAAGUACGUGAAAUUGUUGAAAGGGAAGCGCUGGCAACCAGACCUGUCCGCAGGCGAUCAGCCGCUGUUCUCAGCGGUGCACUCGCUCUGCGAUCAGGCCAGCAUCGGUUUCGGCGGUCGGAUAAAGGCCUUGGGAAUGUAGCUCCCCCUCGGGGGAGUCUUAUAGCCCUCGGUGCAAUGCGGCCAGCCGGGACCGAGGACCGCGCUUCGGCUAGGAUGCUGGCGUAAUGGUUGUCAGCGACCCGUCUUGAAACACGGACCAAGGAGUCUAAUAUCUAUGCGAGUGUUUGGGUGUUAAACCCAUGCGCGGAAUGAAAGUGAACGGAGGUGAGAACCCUCAAGGGCGCAUCAUCGACCGAUCCAGAUGUCUUCGGAUGGAUUUGAGUAUGAGCAUAAAUAUUGGGACCCGAAAGGUAAGGCCCCAAUUGUGCCCCCCCCCCGCAUGUAGAUUCCAACGCUAACGUAUCUCCCAGAUGGUGAACUAUGCCUGAAUAGGGUGAAGCCAGAGGAAACUCUGGUGGAGGCUCGCAGCGGUUCUGACGUGCAAAUCGAUCGUCAAAUUUGGGUAUAGGGGCGAAAGACUAAUC
rnacentral:rRNA from 1 species